rnacentral:rRNA from 1 species
CCUACGGGAGGCAGCAGUGGGGAAUAUUGCACAAUGGGGGAAACCCUGAUGCAGCGACGCCGCGUGAGUGAAGAAGUAUCUCGGUACGUAAAGCUCUAUCAGCAGGGAAGAAAAUGACGGUACCUGACUAAGAAGCCCCGGCUAACUACGUGCCAGCAGCCGCGGUAAUACGUAGGGGGCAAGCGUUAUCCGGAUUUACUGGGUGUAAAGGGAGCGUAGACGGCAGCACAAGUCUGGAGUGAAAUCCCGGGGCUUAACCCCGGAACUGCUUUGGAAACUGGGCGGCUAGAGUGCAGGAGGGGUAAGUGGAAUUCCUAGUGUAGCGGUGGAAUGCGUAGAUAUUAGGAGGAACAUCAGGGGCGAAGGCGACUUACUGGACUGUAACUGACACUGAGGCACGAAAGCGUGGGGAGCAAACAGGAUUAGAUACCCUUGUAGUC